rnacentral:misc_RNA from 1 species
GAUGAAGAACGUAGCGAACUGCGAUAAGUAAUGUGAAUUGCAGAAUUCAGUGAAUCAUCGAGUCUUUGAACGCACAUUGCGCCCCCUGGCAUUCCGGGGGGCAUGCCUGUCCGAGCGUCAUUGCUGCCCUUCAAGCCCGGCUUGUGUGUUGGGUCGUCGUCCCCCCCGGGGGACGGGCCCGAAAGGCAGCGGCGGCGCCGCGUCCGGUCCUCGAGCGUAUGGGGCUUUGUCACCCGCUCGAUUAGGGCCGGCCGGGCGCCAGCCGGCGUCUCCAACCUUCUAUUUUACCAGGUUGACCUCGGAUCAGGUAGGGAUACCCGCUGAACUUAAGCAUAUCAAUAAGCGGAGGA